rnacentral:rRNA from 1 species
GACGAACCGUGCGAACGUUGUUCGGAAUCACUGGGCUUAAAGGGCGCGUAGGCGGGUCUUCAAGUUUGGGGUGAAAUCCUCCGGCUCAACCGGAGAACUGCCUCGAAUACUGAAGGUCUCGAGGGGGAUAGGGGCAUGCGGAACUACGGGUGGAGCGGUGAAAUGCGUUGAUAUCCGUAGGAACUCCGGUGGCGAAGGCGGCGUGCUGGACCAACACUGACUCUGAGGAGCGAAAGCCAGGGGAGCAAACGGG